rnacentral:rRNA from 1 species
CCUACGGGUGGCUGCAGUGAGGAAUAUUGGUCAAUGGCCGCAGGGCUGAACCAGCCAAGUCGCGUGAGGGAUGACGGUCCUAUGGAUUGUAAACCUCUUUUGUCAGGGAGCAAAGUGCGCCACGUGUGGCUUUUUGCGAGUACCUGAUGAAUAAGCAUCGGCUAACUCCGUGCCAGCAGCCGCGGUAAUACGGAGGAUCCGAGCGUUAUCCGGAUUUAUUGGGUUUAAAGGGUGCGCAGGCGGACUGUCAAGUCAGCGGUAAAAUUUCGGGGCUCAACCCCGUAGUGCCGUUGAAACUGGCGUGCUUGAGUGAGCGAGAAGUAGGCGGAAUGCGUGGGGUAGCGGUGAAAUGCAUAGAUAUCACGAAGAACUCCGAUUGCGAAGGCAGCAUACCGGAGCGCAACUGACGCUCAUGCACGAAAGCGUGGGUAUCGAACAGGAUUAGAUACCCGUGUAGUC